UUUUUUUUGUUUUUUUUGGAA
rnacentral:piRNA from 1 species